rnacentral:rRNA from 1 species
UACAGAGGGGGCAAGCGUUGUUCGGAAUUACUGGGCGUAAAGGGCGCGUAGGCGGCCCGCUAAGUCGAACGUGAAAUCCCCGAGCUCAACUCGGGAACUGCGUCCGAUACUGGCGGGCUUGAAUCCGGGAGAGGGAUGCGGAAUUCCAGGUGUAGCGGUGAAAUGCGUAGAUAUCUGGAGGAACACCGGUGGCGAAGGCGGCAUCCUGGACCGGCAUUGACGCUGAGGCGCGAAAGCGUGGGGAGCAAACGGG